rnacentral:rRNA from 14 species
AAUUCCUUGUCGGGUAAGUUCCGACCUGCACGAAUGGUGUAACCAUGGCCAUGCUGUCUCCACCCGAGACUCAGUGAAAUUGAAAUCGCAGUGAAGAUGCUGUGUACCCGCACCUAGACGGAAAGACCCCGUGAACCUUUACUACAGCUUGGCACUGAACAUUGACCCUACAUGUGUAGGAUAGGUGGGAGGCUUUGAAACGUUGUCGCCAGAUAGCGUGGAGCCGACCUUGAAAUACCACCCUUGUAUGUUCGAUGUUCUAACAUUGGCCCCUUAUCGGGGUUGUGGACAGUGUCUGGUGGGUAGUUUGACUGGGGCGGUCUCCUCCCAAAUAGUAACGGAGGAGCACGAAGGUUAGCUAAUCACGGUCGGACAUCGUGAGGUUAGUGCAAUGGCAUAAGCUAGCUUAACUGCGAGACAGACACGUCGAGCAGAUACGAAAGUAGGUCAUAGUGAUCCGGUGGUUCUGAAUGGAAGGGCCAUCGCUCAACGGAUAAAAGGUACUCCGGGGAUAACAGGCUGAUCUUGCCCAAGAGUUCACAUCGACGGCAAGGUUUGGCACCUCGAUGUCGGCUCAUCGCAUCC